GGUUGUGGCUCAGUGGUAGAGUGCUUGCCUAGCACAUGUGAGGCACUGGGUUCAAUCCUCAGCAGCACA
rnacentral:tRNA from 1 species